rnacentral:rRNA from 1 species
GCAGUCGAGCGACAGAAGGGAGCUUGCUCCCGGAUGUUAGCGGCGGACGGGUGAGUAACACGUGGGUAACCUGCCUGUAAGACUGGGAUAACUCCGGGAAACCGGAGCUAAUACCGGAUAGUUCCUUGAACCGCAUGGUUCAAGGAUGAAAGACGGUUUCGGCUGUCACUUACAGAUGGACCCGCGGCGCAUUAGCUAGUUGGUGGGGUAAUGGCUCACCAAGGCGACGAUGCGUACCCGACCUGAGAGGGUGAUCGGCCACACUGGGACUGAGACACGGCCCAGACUCCUACGGGAGGCAGCAGUAGGGAAUCUUCCGCAAUGGACGAAAGUCUGACGGAGCAACGCCGCGUGAGUGAUGAAGGUUUUCGGAUCGUAAAGCUCUGUUGUUAGGGAAAAACAAGUGCGAGAGUAACUGCUCGCACCUUGACGGUACCUAACCAGAAAGCCACGGCUAACUACGUGCCAGCAGCCGCGGUAAUACGUAGGUGGCAAGCGUUGUCCGGAAUUAUUGGGCGUAAAGGGCUCGCAGGCGGUUUCUUAAGUCUGAUGUGAAAGCCCCCGGCUCAACCGGGGAGGGUCAUUGGAAACUGGGAAACUUGAGUGCAGAAGAGGAGAGUGGAAUUCCACGUGUAGCGGUGAAAUGCGUAGAGAUGUGGAGGAACACCAGUGGCGAAGGCGACUCUCUGGUCUGUAACUGACGCUGAGGAGCGAAAGCG